UGGUGCAGACAUCUGAACAGUGGUUAAGAUGCUGGUUGGAACUCCUCUAUGCCAUAUUGGAGUGCCUGGUUUCGAGUCCUGGCUCUGCUCCUGAUUCUAAUUUCCCUGCUGGUGUGAACUCUGGGAGGCAACAGAAGAUGGUUAGUGAUCAGGUUUCAGCUUCCUGGGUAGGAAACCUCCACGGAGUUACUGGAUCUCGGCUUUGGCCUGUCCCAACUGUGGCCUUUGUGGACAUUUAGGAAGUGAAACAGGAGAUGGGAAUCUCUCCCUAUCUGACUAAGCAAGUCUUUUUCUCUCCUGUUCAUACAUACAUACAUACAUAUAUACAUAAAAUUUUAAAACAUAGCUAAACAUGAAAUGACCCUUCUGAGAAAGGAGCUAGAAGUGUGGAAGAAAAAGAUCCAGUAAUGGAGCAUGGGCGACCACCUUCCAUACACGGAGGCCACUCUACUUAUUUCCUAGCUCCACAGUCAGGAGUGCCAACGUGUUCAAUAUGCUUAUGUCAUCUUACAGAAUAUGUGUUCACUUGACCAUCUGCCUGAGAAUGCCUCAGCUGGCUUUUCUUUUCGUGAGGAAAUAUAUUGAUACUGCUUUGUUUCUGGAUACACAUUUGGGUUGAUGAUGUAUUGAGAAGAAAGAACAAAAACUGGAAGGAGGAGACAGACAAAAGUCCAACAGUCCUUUGCCAUGGCCCAAUUGGAAAAUAUUUCAGUUGACCUGGACACUGGUAGUUGGAUUGACUCGGAAUAUCACAUCUGCUUAUGAAUGCAAUGGUUGAUGAUGUCUCAGCUCCUGAGAACAGGGAUGGGUAACUCGAGCUCCCUCUGCUGUCUGCCUACUUCUUUUUAUAGUAGUUAAAAAGGACCGAAAAUAAUAAUUUAAACACACAGCAUUUUAAAAAAGCUGUCAUGAAAGAAGCAGGAGUGACUUACACUUUUAAAUUUACUUCUAUAAGUAAUAGCAUCACUUACUUAAUUUUAUCAAGGAAAUGAGGAUUCUAAAAAGGCUGAAUAGGGAAAAGAUCUGCUGCUUUGGACAAGGGGAAAAUAGCAGAAUAAAAGUGGAGGAAAUGCAUUCCCAAGAGAGUGUUGGAGAAAAAUUUAUAGUAGAAAUUCUACAGAAGGAAGAUAGACACUGUGAAGCAGUGUGGGAAGUGCCGACGCAUAACAGCAAGCAGCAACACCAUACAUAAUUCCCAUAGCCAGGGACUGCCUGAGGGAGUACCGUAUGAACCACACUUUGAGUCCAGCCUGGAGCCCUAGGAGGAGGGCAGGGUACCCACCUAAUCGAGUAAAAGAAAAGCAGAUUUUUUCUACCCAUACCUCCACAAGGGCACCUGGCAACUAGCAGGGAGAGGCAACAUCUUGAAACCAGUAGAGGCUGCAGUGGCUUGCAGGCACCUGUGUGACCAAGGGUGUUGAGUUGGAUUUGCUCUGAGAGGAGGAGUGUGGUGGAGGCAAGAGACGUGGAGUCACCACACAGACCCCGGGAGUGAGGUGAAAGCGGGCCAGAGGCAAGCAGCCUGCAGACUCGUUUAUUUCAGUUGCUACAGCAGUUUAUAUUGCCAAGGCAGCCAAUCUGGUCAAGGGGUGGUCUAUGCCCUAACCAAUCACAACCUGUUGCCAGGCAGUUUCUGAAGUCAUCCAAUCACAGCCUGUUACCAGUCAGGCUCUAUUGUCAUGUGGUUUCUGAAACCAUCCAAUCACAGCCUGUUGCCAGGCAGUUUCUGUUGCCAGUGGUCAUCUUGGCAUGGCCUUCUCAUUCCACCACACAAGGGAUUUUACCUUAGGGAAAUUUGUGUUCCUCAAUGACCGAAUCUGGCUGGGAGGGUUG